AACGAACGCUGGCGGCGUGCCUAACACAUGCAAGUCGUGCGAGAAAAGGGGGGCAACUCCCUGAGUACAGCGGCGCACGGGUGAGUAACACGUAGGUAACCUGCCCUCGAGCCUGGAAUAACCUACCGAAAGGUGGGCUAAUACCGGAUAUGACCACGGGAGUUUCGGCUUCUGCGGUGAAAGGUGGCCUCUACUUGUAAGCUACCACUCAAGGAUGGGCCUGCGUACCAUUAGCUAGNGGUGAGGUAACGGCUCACCAAGGCUGUGAUGGUUAGCUGGUCUGAGAGGAUGGCCAGCCACACUGGGACUGAAACACGGCCCAGACUCCUACGGGAGGCAGCGGUGGGAAUCUUGCGCAAUGGGCGAAAGCCUGACGCAGCGACGCCGCGUGAGGGAUGACGGCCU
rnacentral:rRNA from 1 species